GACGGAGGAUGCAAUGUGUUAUCGGAAUCACUGGGCGUAAAGCGUCUGUAGGUGGUUUAAAAAGUCCACUGAUUAAAAAUUGAAGCUUAACUUCAAAGAUGCCGUGGAAACUUUUAAACUUGAGUAUGAUAGGGGUAGAGGGAAUUUCCAGUGGAGCGGUGAAAUGCGUAGAUAUUGGAAAGACACCAAUGGCGAAGGCACUCUACUGGGCCAUUACUGACACUGAGAGACGAAAGCUAGGGUAGCGAAUGGG
rnacentral:rRNA from 1 species